rnacentral:tRNA from 1 species
GGAAGAUGAACCAGGCAGGCGCCUGGACCGGAUUUGAAAUCCGUGGGCGUGGGGUAGCUCCCUGCGUGGGCUUCGAGUGCACCCGUCUUCCGCCA